AUGGCAAGCAGCACAUCUGUUCUCAUGUCAUUGGGCCAAGCAAGUCACAUGGCCCAUCUGAUCAUUAGGCCACCAUGGGUUACUGACAGACCAAAAUAUCCUGACAACUCCCGAAUGCCGGAAGGAGAGAAUGGGUUUAUACAUCUGAGGACCUUGACUAUUCUUGCCUCUCAGAAUUAUCUGCGUUUAUGUUUACAUAAACCACUGACUGGGAUCAUCAUAAGUGAAUCAUCAUGUUCCCCAAACCAGAAACUGCCCUGGCACACAGGAAGCUUAUGCUCUUCUGGAACAUUAAGCUCUUCCCCCAUCAAGAGGUGGUGUCUGCGUCUGUUCUCCUUGAAUUUGUGUGGCUCUUCCUGA
rnacentral:lncRNA from 1 species